rnacentral:rRNA from 1 species
GACGAACGCUGGCGGCGUGCUUAACACAUGCAAGUCGAACGGAAAGGCCCUGCUUUUGUGGGGUGCUCGAGUGGCGAACGGGUGAGUAACACGUGAGUAACCUGCCCUUGACUUUGGGAUAACUUCAGGAAACUGGGGCUAAUACCGGAUAGGAGCUCCUGCUGCAUGGUGGGGGUUGGAAAGUUUCGGCGGUUGGGGAUGGACUCGCGGCUUAUCAGCUUGUUGGUGGGGUAGUGGCUUACCAAGGCUUUGACGGGUAGCCGGCCUGAGAGGGUGACCGGACACAGUGGGACUGAGAUGCGGCCCAGACUCCUGCGGGGGGCAGCAGUGGGGAAUAUUGCACUAUGGGCGGAAGCCUGAUGCAGCCACGCCGCGUGCGGGAUGACGGCCUUCGGGUUGUAAACCGCUUUCGCCUGUGACGAAGCGUGAGUGACGGUAAUGGGUAAAGAAGCACCGGCUAACUACGUG